UGCCUUUCCUUCAGAGAUGCCCUAUCCAAAAAGGAAGAAUCUAGAGAAGCAGAUUUGCUGAGCUGUGGUGGGCUCUGCCCAGUUCAAACUUCGUGAAGCUGGUUAGUACUUAGUUGAAGGCUUGAUGUGGACACUGCAGAUCUCUGAAGCUCUCUCCUCUCUGUAUCUCUGCUCUACAGAGUCUACUUGCUGUGAUAUUCCUUGGCUCCCAGAUACAUCUUCACUGCUCAAGACAUGGGGUCUUUCUAUGUUGCUCAGACUGGAGUGUGAUGACAUGAUCAGAGCUUAGCUCACUGCCGCCUGAACUUCUGGGCUCAAGUAAUCCUCCUGCCUCAGCUCCCCAAGUAGCUUGGACUACAGGCCCUAUCCUGGAGGCUGACAGUACCACACUGACUAGGAUGAAGUCUCUGCAUCUUAAGCAGACUGUAGUCCAGUGAAUUCAUGAGCAGCACCAAAUAUGGUAUGGG